CUAUGGAUUGCUUCUUUCGC
rnacentral:snRNA from 1 species